GAUGAACGCUGGCGGCUUGCCUAAUACAUUCAAGUCGAUCGAACGGACGAGACUCUUGCUUCUCUGAUGUUAGCGGCGGACGGGUGAGUAACACUUUGAUAACCUACCUAUAAGACUUGGAUAACUUCGGGAAACCGGAGCUAAUACCGGAUGAUAUUUUGAACCGCAUGGUUCAAAAGUGAAAGACGGUCUUGCUGUCACUUAUAGAUGGAUCCGCGCUUCAUUAGCUAGUUGGUAAGGUAACGGCUUACCAAGGCAACGAUGCAUAGCCGACCUGAGAGAGUGAUCGGCCACACUGGAACUGAGAAAAGGUCGAGACUCCUACGUGAGGCAGGAGUAGGGAAUCUAAAGAGAUGGGCGAAAGCAUGACGGAACGAGGCCGCGCGAGUGAUGAAGGUCUUCGGAUCGUAAAACUCUAUGAUUAGGGAAGAACAUAUGUGAAAGUAACUGAGCACAUCUUGACGGUAGGUAAUUAGAAAAAGAAGGCUAACAACGUG
rnacentral:rRNA from 1 species